GACGAACGCUGGCGGCGUGCCUAAUACAUGCAAGUCGAACGCAGUGGGGACGGGUGAGUAACACGUGGGUAACCUCCCAUCAGAGGGGAUAACCCUUGGAAACAGGUGCUAAACCGAUACUGAUGGAUGGACCCGCGGUGCAUUAGCUAGUUGGUGAGGUAACGGCUCACCAAGGCCACGAUGAAUAGCCGGCCUGGGAGGAUGAUCAGCCACACUGGGACUGAGACACGGCCCAGACUCCUACGGGAGGCAGCAGUAGGGAAUAUUGGGCAAUGGACGAAAGUCUGACGGAGCCACGCCGCGUGAAUGAAGAAGGUUUUCGGAUCGUAAAGCUCUGUUGGUAGAGAAGCGGUAUCUAACCAGAAAGCCACGGCUAACUCCGUGCCAGCCGCCGCGGUAAUAC
rnacentral:rRNA from 1 species